rnacentral:rRNA from 1 species
ACGAACGCUGGCGGCGUGCCUAAUACAUGCAAGUCGAACGCUUCUUUUCCCACCGGAGCUUGCUCCACCGGGAAAAGAGGAGUGGCGAACGGGUGAGUAACACGUGGGUAACCUGCCCAUCAGAAGGGGAUAACACUUGGAAACAGGUGCUAAUACCGUAUAACAAUCGAAACCGCAUGGUUUCGUUUUGAAAGGCGCUUUACGGUGCCGCUGAUGGAUGGACCCGCGGUGCAUUAGCUAGUUGGUGAGGUAACGGCUCACCAAGGCCACGAUGCAUAGCCGACCUGAGAGGGUGAUCGGCCACAUUGGGACUGAGACACGGCCCAAACUCCUACGGGAGGCAGCAGUAGGGAAUCUUCGGCAAUGGACGAAAGUCUGACCGAGCAACGCCGCGUGAGUGAAGAAGGUUUUCGGAUCGUAAAACUCUGUUGUUAGAGAAGAACAAGGGUGAGAGUAACUGUUCACCCCUUGACGGUAUCUAACCAGAAAGCCACGGCUAACUACGUGCCAGCAGCCGCGGUAAUACGUAGGUGGCAAGCGUUGUCCGGAUUUAUUGGGCGUAAAGCGAGCGCAGGCGGUUUCUUAAGUCUGAUGUGAAAGCCCCCGGCUCAACCGGGGAGGGUCAUUGGAAACUGGGAGACUUGAGUGCAGAAGAGGAGAGUGGAAUUCCAUGUGUAGCGGUGAAAUGCGUAGAUAUAUGGAGGAACACCAGUGGCGAAGGCGGCUCUCUGGUCUGUAACUGACGCUGAGGCUCGAAAGCGUGGGGAGCAAACAGGAUUAGAUACCCUGGUAGUCCACGCCGUAAACGAUGAGUGCUAAGUGUUGGAGGGUUUCCGCCCUUCAGUGCUGCAGCUAACGCAUUAAGCACUCCGCCUGGGGAGUACGACCGCAAGGUUGAAACUCAAAGGAAUUGACGGGGGCCCGCACAAGCGGUGGAGCAUGUGGUUUAAUUCGAAGCAACGCGAAGAACCUUACCAGGUCUUGACAUCCUUUGACCACUCUAGAGAUAGAGCUUCCCCUUCGGGGGCAAAGUGACAGGUGGUGCAUGGUUGUCGUCAGCUCGUGUCGUGAGAUGUUGGGUUAAGUCCCGCAACGAGCGCAACCCUUAUUGUUAGUUGCCAUCAUUUAGUUGGGCACUCUAGCAAGACUGCCGGUGACAAACCGGAGGAAGGUGGGGAUGACGUCAAAUCAUCAUGCCCCUUAUGACCUGGGCUACACACGUGCUACAAUGGGAAGUACAACGAGUCGCGAAGUCGCGAGGCUAAGCUAAUCUCUUAAAGCUUCUCUCAGUUCGGAUUGUAGGCUGCAACUCGCCUACAUGAAGCCGGAAUCGCUAGUAAUCGCGGAUCAGCACGCCGCGGUGAAUACGUUCCCGGGCCUUGUACACACCGCCCGUCACACCACGAGAGUUUGUAACACCCGAAGUCGGUGAGGUAACCUUUUUGGAGCCAGCCGCCUAAGGUGGGAUAGAUGAUUGGGGUGAAGUCGUAACAAGGUAGCCGUAUCGGAAGGUGCGGCUGGAUCACCUC